GGCGGAGAUCCCCAGGCUCGGGUACAGAGCUCCCAGCUGCGCCUCCCUGCAGCCGGGUCUGGGAGCCUGGCUCUGAACCCCAGGCUCACGCAGGGAGGGUGCAAGAGCUGAGCUUGUGGCCCAGGAGUGUGUAGAGAGAAGCUGGAAAUGCUUCCAUCCAGUGAGACAGUGAAGAUCCAGGAGAUAUUCUGAGAGAGAGAAGGAGCACGUUCACAUUAUUACAGUAUGUUGCUAGGAGAACCCUGACUAACAUAAUAAUAAGAAAGGAAAAACAUCAGCUGGUGAAGCAAGGACAUCCCUUUGGUUGUAAAAACAUGUUUUUGAAGCUGGGUGUGGUGCACACACCUGCAGUCCCAGCACCCUGCCUGUCUCCAAGGGGCAGCGCUUCCCAGCCCUGAGUGCAGCGUCCUGCAGGACAUGGGCG
rnacentral:lncRNA from 1 species